GCGGGCGUCGUAUAACGGCUAUUACAGGCGCUUCCCAAGCCUCAGACGGGGGUCCGACUCCCCUCGCCCGCU
rnacentral:tRNA from 1 species